UUGAGCGGCUUGAUGGGAAACUGUCACGAGCCGUUCUUAGGGGACUGCGGGGUGGCAACACCCCAAUGUUACCCGAC
rnacentral:ncRNA from 1 species